AGAGAAAGAGUGUAAGCAUAUUAAUGACCACCAAACAAAACUGCUAUGGAAACAGACAGACAGGUGUAAAGGUAAACAGGUAUGUAAUAUUUGCCAAAGAAUGAAUAGUCUUCCUCAUUCAGUUAAGAGGAGAACAAAAAACAUAAUAUGGCCAUACGUGUAGCUUAUGAAUAUGUUAUGUGCUGAUGGAGAACAAUCUAAUCAGCACAGGACCGUCCAUAAGCACAUUAAUAACAAAGAACAUGCAAGAU